UACAGAGGGUGCGAGCGUUAAUCGGAAUUACUGGGCGUAAAGCGUGCGUAGACGGUUAUUUAAGUCGGAUGUGAAAGCCCCGGGCUCAACCUGGGAAUUGCAUUCGAGACUGAAUAGCUAGGGUACGGUAGAGGGAAGCGGAAUUUCCGGUGUAGCGGUGAAAUGCGUAGAUAUCGGGAGGAACAUCAGUGGCGAAGGCGGCCUUCUGGUCCAGUACUGACACUCAAGUGCGAAAGCGUGGGGAGCAAACAGG
rnacentral:rRNA from 1 species